UACAGAGGUCCCAAGCGUUGUUCGGAUUCACUGGGCGUAAAGGGUGCGUAGGUGGCUUGGUAAGUUCGAUGUGAAAUCUCCGGGCUUAACCCGGAAAUGGCAUUGAAUACUAUUGAGCUGGAGGUUUGGAGGGGGGACUGGAAUUCUCGGUGUAGCAGUGAAAUGCGUAGAUAUCGAGAGGAACACCAGUGGCGAAGGCGGCUUGCCAGAACGCGCUCGACGGUGAGGGAUGAAAGCUGGGGGAGCAAACCGG
rnacentral:rRNA from 1 species